rnacentral:misc_RNA from 1 species
GGUAUCUGACAAGGACCUUGAAGCCUUAUAUGUCGAGACCAGUAGUUACAUGCUAGCUUCACACCUAUACUGGGCUCUCUGGGCCUUGAUCCAGGCGAAAAUGUCACCCAUCGAUUUUGAUUACAUCAGUUACUUCUUCCUGCGCUAUAAUGAAUACAAGAAGCAGAAGGAGAAAGUCCUCUCUUUAGCCAAGUCAUAUCUCUCGAAACCCGAGCUGGGUAAAAGAUUGAUGUAACACAGUUCCCAACUCUUGAAAGCAGAAGGAGAAAGUCAUGUCUCUCAAAACGUGGGCGAACGGUUCAUGUAACACAGUUCCAAACUCUUUAAAGCUGUCGAUUGACACGAACAUUUUGAUCUCAUUUGUUGCAAAGUAGAAAUAGCUGCUGAUAAUAGUCAAGUUGGACUCUGCAAAAAUAAUUUUUUCUUUCUUCCAGAAAGCAUAUUAAAGUGUUGU